UACGAAGGGGGCUAGCGUUGCUCGGAAUCACUGGGCUUAAAGGGCGCGUAGGCGGGCUGUCAAGUCUGGGGUGAAAUCCCACGGCUCAACCGUGGAACUGCCUUAGAUACUGACGGCCUCGAGGGAGAUAGGGGCGAGCGGAACUGUGAGUGGAGCGGUGAAAUGCGUUGAUAUUCACAGGAACUCCGGUGGCGAAGGCGGCUCGCUGGAUCUUUUCUGACGCUGAGGCGCGAAAGCUAGGGGGGCAAACGGG
rnacentral:rRNA from 1 species